GAGUAAUGUCUGGGAAACUGCCUGAUGGAGGGGGAUAACUACUGGAAACGGUGGCUAAUACCGCAUAACGUCGCAAGACCAAAGAGGGGGACCUUCGGGCCUCUUGCCAUCAGAUGUGCCCAGAUGGGAUUAGCUUGUUGGUGAGGUAACGGCUCACCAAGGCGACGAUCCCUAGCUGGUCUGAGAGGAUGACCAGCCACACUGGAACUGAGACACGGUCCAGACUCCUACGGGAGGCAGCAGUGGGGAAUAUUGCACAAUGGGCGCAAGCCUGAUGCAGCCAUGCCGCGUGUAUGAAGAAGGCCUUCGGGUUGUAAAGUACUUUCAGCGGGGAGGAAGGUGUUGUGGUUAAUAACCGCAGCAAUUGACGUUACCCGCAGAAGAAGCACCGGCUAACUCCGUGCCAGCAGCCGCGGUAAUACGGAGGGUGCAAGCGUUAAUCGGAAUUACUGGGCGUAAAGCGCACGCAGGCGGUCUGUCAAGUCGGA
rnacentral:rRNA from 1 species